CGGGGCGAGUAAUGUAUGGGGAUCUGCCUGAUGGCGGGGGAUAACUACUGGAAACGGUAGCUAAUACCGCAUAAUGUCUGCGGACCAAAGCGGGGGGACCUCCGGGCCUCGCGCCAUCAGAUGAACCCAUAUGGGAUUAGCUUGUAGGUAAGGUAACGGCUUACCUAGGCGACGAUCCCUAGCUGGUCUGAGAGGAUGAUCAGCCACACUGGGACUGAGACACGGCCCAG
rnacentral:rRNA from 1 species